AACGUAGGUACCGAGCGUUAUCCAGAUUUACUGGGCGUAAAGCGCGUUCAGGCGGUUUGGCAAGUCGGGCAUGAAAUCUCUCGGCUCAACCGGGAGAGGUUGUCCGAUACUUCCAGACUUGAGGGCAGUAGAGGGUGGUGGAAUUCCGGGUGUAGUGGUGAAAUGCGUAGAUAUCCGGAGGAACACCAGUGGCGAAAGCGGCCACCUGGACUGCACCUGACGCUGACACGCGAAAGCUAGGGGAGCGAACGGG
rnacentral:rRNA from 1 species